AACGAACGCUGGCGGCAUGCCUAACACAUGCCAGUCGAACGAGACCUUCGGGUCUAGUGGCGCACGGGUUCGUAACGCGUGGGAACCUUCCCUUAGGUUCGGAAUAACUCCCCGAAAGGGGUGCUAAUACCGGAUAAUGUCUUCGGACCAAAGAUUUAUCGCCUUUGGAUGUUCCCGCGUUGGAUUAGCUAGUGGGUAGGGUAAAAGCCUACCAAGGCGACGAUCCAUAGCUGGUCUGAGAGGAUGAUCAGCCACACUGGGACGGAGACACGGCCCAGACUCCUACGGGAGGCAGCAGUGGGGAAUAUUGGACAAUGGGCGAAAGCCUGAUCCAGCAAUGCCGCGUGAGUGAUGAAGGCCUUAGGGUUGUAAAGCUCUUUUACCCGGGAUGAUAAUGACAGUACCGGGAGAAUAAGCUCCGGCUAACUCCGUG
rnacentral:rRNA from 1 species